GUGUCAGCAGCCGCGGUAAAACGUAGGAGACGAACGUUAUCCGGAGUUACUGGGCGUAAAGGGCGUGCAGGCGGCCUGAUAAGUCUGGCGUGAAAGAUCCCGGCUUAACCGGGAAGGGUCGUCGGAUACUGUUGGGCUAGAGGGCGAUAGAGGCGGGUGGAAUUCCGGGUGUAGUGGUGAAAUGCGUAGAGAUCCGGAGGAACACCAGUGGCGAAGGCGACCCGCUGGGUCGCACCUGACGCUAAGACGCGACAGCAUGGGGAGCGAACGGGAUUAGAAACCCGGGUAGUCC
rnacentral:rRNA from 1 species